rnacentral:misc_RNA from 1 species
GAAAUGCGAUAAGUAGUGUGAAUUGCAGAAUUCAGUGAAUCAUCGAAUCUUUGAACGCACAUUGCGCCCUUUGGUAUUCCUUAGGGCAUGCCUGUUCAAGCGUCAUCUAAACCUUCAAGCCCUGCUUGGUGUUGGGUGCCUGUCCCGCCUCCGCGCGCGGACUCACCUCAAAUCCAUUGGCGGCCCCCGCGUCGGCCACGAGCGCAGCAGAAACGCGAACUCGUGAGCCCGUCCGGGCGGCUCCCAGAAGCUACACCCACCCAGUUUGACCUCGGAUCAGGUAGGGAUACCCGCUGAACUUAAGC